rnacentral:rRNA from 1 species
AACGAACGCUGGCGGCAGGCUUAACACAUGCAAGUCGAACGCAUCCUUCGGGGUGAGUGGCAGACGGGUGAGUAACGCGUGGGAACGUGCCCUUCAGUUCGGGAUAACCCAGGGAAACUUGGGCUAAUACCGGAUACGUGCGAGAGCAGAAAGAUUUAUCGCUGAAGGAUCGGCCCGCGUCUGAUUAGCUAGUUGGUGGGGUAAUGGCCCACCAAGGCGACGAUCAGUAGCUGGUCUGAGAGGAUGAUCAGCCAUAUUGGGACUGAGACACGGCCCAAACUCUUACGGGAGGCAGCAGUGGGGAAUAUUGGACAAUGGGCGCAAGCCUGAUCCAGCCAUGCCGCGUGAGUGAUGAAGGCCUUAGGGUUGUAAAGCUCUUUCGUCCGGGACGAUAAUGACGGCACCGGAAGAAGAAGCCCCGGCUAACUUCGUGCCAGCCGCCGCGGUAAAAC